UACAGAGGGUGCGAGCGUUAAUCGGAAUUAUUGGGCGUAAAGAGCUCGUAGGCGGUUUGUCACGUCUGCUGUGAAAACUGGAGGCUCAACCUCCAGCCUGCAGUGGGUACGGGCAGACUAGAGUGCGGUAGGGGAGAUUGGAAUUCCUGGUGUAGCGGUGAAAUGCGUAGAUAUCAGGAGGAAUACCGGUGGCGAAAGCGACUCUCUGGACGGCAACUGACGCUGAGGCACGAAAGCGUGGGGAGCAAACAGG
rnacentral:rRNA from 1 species